rnacentral:lncRNA from 1 species
ACAUAGACAAGUCGAAAACAAGCUUUACUCUGCACUGACUCAACUUUAAAACCUCACCAGACUCUGUACAGAACUCUCCUGGGGUCGUAACUCAUACCAAAAGAAACCUCUUCGAGUCUAGUUUCAUUUAAAAAAAAGUAGGAUCAAAAACUCCAAGUAGUUUAGGAGAUAUGACUGUUUUACUACAGUCUACCAUAUUCGGCAGUUUUU